UGGCUCUGGCAUCGAUGAAGAACGCAGCGAAAUGCGAUACGUAAUGUGAAUUGCAGAGCUCAGUGAAUCAUCGAAUCUUUGAACGCACAUUGCGCCCCUUGGUAUUCCGAGGGGCAUGCCUGUUCGAGCGUCAUUAUCACCCCUCAAGCCUAGCUUGAUGUUGGGGCUCGCCCGUCGGGGCGGCCCUUAAAAUCAGUGGCGGUGCCGUCAGGCUCUGAGCGUAGUAAUACUCCUCGCUAUAGAGUCCUGGCGGUUCCCAGCCAGAACCCCCCAUUUUUUUAUGAUUGACCUCGGAUCAGGUAGGGUUACCCGCUGA
rnacentral:misc_RNA from 1 species